rnacentral:rRNA from 1 species
UACGAAGGGUGCAAGCGUUUACUCGGAAUUACUGGGCGUAAAGCGCACGUAGGCGGCUUUGUAAGUUAGAGGUGAAAGCCCAGGGCUUAACCCUGGAAUUGCCUUUAAGACUGCAUCGCUAGAAUCGUGGAGAGGUGAGUGGAAUUCCGAGUGUAGAGGUGAAAUUCGUAGAUAUUCGGAAGAACACCAGUGGCGAAGGCGACUCACUGGACACGUAUUGACGCUGAGGUGCGAAAGCGUGGGGAGCAAACAGG